UACACGCAUGCAUAAGAUUUUUCCCCCUUCUCCUUUCUUCUCUAUUCGGUGGAUUUAGAAAAUCUAGAGCAAAUAGAGUGUGAGAGAGAGAACUUUGAACCACAACCUUUGCGUCUUCAUCGAUCCUAUCACUGUUAUUCUUUCCAUCUAUUGUUGGAGAUUGUGGGUGCAUUGGAUUUGGGUUCUGUUUCUUUCAAUUUUUUCAAUGUGCUGUGUUUGGUCAAAGUUCCAUCUCUUGUAAAGCUUCUCUGAUUGUGGGUGUUGUGUUUUUCCGCUGUGCUGUGUUUCUUUCAUUUUUGCUUCUCUAAUUGUGGGCGCCGAGAACAUCGAAGAUCUCCUUCCCUUGUCGGUUUUAUCUCCUGUCAAUCUUUGCUUCAAGUGGCUCAGAUUUUCCUCUGUAAUAUUUUGUGCCGUGAGCCCUUUUUCUCCUCUUCUUAUGCGUUAAUGGUGAUCUAAGGUAGGAGUUUCAAGUGUGCUUCCUCUUGUGGUUCUAUACAUGUGUGCGUAUGUGUUUAAUGGUUGAGAUAAUUUUUUGUGAGAUGCUGUGUGAUUUUUUCUCUUUCCUUGUUUGCUAUUAUGGAGAUAAAAAUUGAGUUUUCUUUAUGUUGGAGAUUGAUUUUCUUACUAGAGAGUAUAUUUGGAGGCUGAUGGAUACAAAUAGUUAUAUUGUAAAAUUUUGGGAAAUGGAAUUACUGAAGAAGGAGUUAAUUUUAGUUUAAAGGUUAAUGGCCAUUAGGUGUUCGAUGAAAUGCUCAUUAGGAGAGUUCUACUUUAUUAUGCAUUUUUUUGAAAUUUUAUUAAUUAUGGUGAGAAGCAUGAUUGAUUGGAAUGCUAUUUAAUGAAAUUUUAACUUGAGCAUUAUAAGGGACUUGAUUUUAAAGCUAUUUUGUGAUUGGUUGAAAUUUUGAAAGUUUAUGUUGAGUAGUUUAUAAUUAUGGAAGACACUUAUUUUUUACAAUGAAUGAGUUGAGAUUAGAGAUUUUUUUUUAAAUAUAUUGUUGUUGGUGAUUCAAACGCUAUGUUUGGUUACUUAAUUAUUUUGAUUUGUCAAGAUCAAAUGUUAAAGUUACUUUGUAAAAAGUGCUUUUUGUAGUAGUGGAAAUUUGUAUUUGGAUUGUUAACUUAGAUUAGGCAUUGUUGUUGGCUAUAAUAUGAUUUGUUAAACUGUGCUAGUGUAUUUUCAAUUGUAAAAUUAUUGGGAAGUCUAACUUUUAGGGGAGACUCUAUUAAAAUUUUUUAAAACUUAUUAUUUGGCCCAUUUCUCUAUAUGGAAAGGGCCAAUGAAUAUAUAGUUGGCUUCCCUCCUGCCUAUUAGAUAGGAGGUUAGCCAACCAUAAAGAACAUUUUUCUUCAAAGAGCUUGCUUCCUGCUUUAUUAGAACUUGUUAGUUGGCCCUAUUAUAAUAGAUUUAGUAAUAAUCCAUGAACUGCUUUGUGUUUUAGGAGGUAAAAUCAAACAUGGAUCGUAGUUAGAUAGAUGCCAAAUGAACAAGUAUAGAAUAUGUUAACGGGGCUAAGGAGUUUCUAGAAUUUUCUCAAAGCAAUACUGAAGAUGAUAGUAGGAGGUUUUCUUGUCCUUGUAGAGAUUGUUUGAAUGAGAGACGACUAAGUACAAAUGAGAUAUAUGAACACUUAAUUUGUGAAGGGUUUCUUAAAAGUUAUAGAGUAUGGCAUGAUGAAAGAUUGAACAUGCCAAUGUCAAGUACAUCUCAACCUCGGGACAUUGAUGAUGAUUAUAAUGAUGAUGAUAUGACUGAUCGGCUAGAGGACAUGAGUCGUGAUGUGGGUAAAGAGGCCUUUGAGCAAUCCUAGGUAUAUAAUAAUAUGUGUAGUGGUGGAGAGACACCUGUGUACCCAGGUUACGAGGAAUAUAAUCUGUUGAAAGCAAUGUUGGAAUUGGUAAGCUUGAAAGCUAGAUCCGGGUAAAGCAACAAGAGUUUCACAAAAAUACUCGAGUUGUUGAAAUUAAUGCUUUUGAAAGAGAAUAUGUUGCCGAUUCGUUACUACGAGGCAAAGAAAAUUCUAUUCCCACUAGGCAUAAAGUUUAAGAAAAUACAUGCAUGCCUUAAUGAUUGCAUAUUGUAUAGGAAAGAGCAUAAAGAGGAGCAAAAUUGUCUGGUAUGUGAGACUCCAAGGUACAAAGAAAACAAAGCUCCUGUAAAGGUGCUAUGAUAUCUUUCAAUUAUAUCAAGGUUUAAAUAAUUGUUUGCUAAUGAAAAGGAUGCGAAGAAUCUGAGGUAGCAUACAAAUGAAAGGAUUUUUUAUGGAAAACUUUAACACCCGGCUGAUUUAGAAUAAUGGAAGAAAAUUGAUACAUUGUUUCUCUAUUUCAGCAAUGAUCCAAGGAACCUCAAGCUUGGACUUAGUAUGAAUGGCAUGAAUCCUUAUGGCAACCUUAGUAGCAUACACAGUUCAUGAGCUGUUCUAUCGGAGAUUUACAACUUAUCUCCCAUGUUAUGAAUGCAGCACAAGUAUAUCAUGUUGUCUAUGUUUAUUUCAGGACUGAAACAACCAUGGAAUAACAUUGAUGUUUACUUAAGACCCUUCAUCAAAGACUUAAAAAAGCGGUGAGAGAUAGGUGUUAAUGUGUUUGACACGAAUCAGAAGGAGGUAUUCAAGUUGCGUGCGAUGAUUUUUUGUACCAUAAAUGACUUCCCUACAUAUGAAAACUUGUCAAGUUAUAGUAUUAAGGGGCAUAAAGCAUGUCCAAUUUAUGAAGAAGGUACAUGCUGCAAUCAACUUUAUCAUAGAAAGAAGACAGUCUACUUUAGCCAUAGGAAAUUUCUUGAAAAAGGUCACCGCUACCGUAGAAUGAGGAAAGCUUUCUAUAGUGGCCAAGAGCAUGAAACUACCUCAAAGCCAUUGACAGGAGAGCAAGUUUAUGAAUUAGUGAAAGACAUUAAUGUUACUUUUAGUAAAACUAUAAAGAGUAGUGAAAAAGAUAUAUGGAAAAAGAGGUUUAUUUUCUUUGACCUUCUAUAUUGGUGCCAUCUUGAUGUGAGGCACUGUAUUGACGUCAUGCAUAUAGAGAAGAAUAUGUGUGAUAGUAUUAUUGGAACACUUCUCAACAUAUCAAGCAAGUUUAAGGAUAGUGUGAAGGCAAGAUUGGAUUUGGUAGAUAUGAAAAUUAAAGAGGACUUACACCUAAGGCCAGAUAGUAAGUGAACUUAUUAUCCCCUGACUGAACAUACAUUGUGCAAGGACGAGAAAAGAAGCUUUUGUGAUUGCUUGCAUGACAUAAAAGUUCCCUUAGGAUAUUCUUCAAAUUUUAAGAAGCUUGUGUCGAUGAAGGAUUUGAAAUUAGUAGGCCUCAAGUCUCAUGAUUGCCAUAUCUUAAUGCAACAAUUACUCUCAGUGGCUAUUCGAGGUUUCUGGAAAGAUGAAUUGAGAGAUGUCAUAACCAGAAUUUGCUUUUUCUUCAAUGCUAUAUGCCGUAAAGUCCAUGAGAUUGAAGAAUUAGAUGAAUUAGAGAAGGAGGCAUAUCUUAUCUUGUGCCAACUUGAAAAAUUCUUUCUUCCAUCGUUUUAUGGGCUGAGACAUAUGUACAACAUCAUCACGGCCGGCUUAAUAGAAUUUACUGAAGAGAUGUUCAAUGAUUCAUCUCGAUUUCCACAAUCAGAGAUCCAAGAAAUUAGAAGACAUUGAGGAUUAUUUAUGUUAGAGCUUCACAACAACAAUCCAUUGAAUGAGUGAGUUUAGGAUAUGUAUAGUUGAAUUAGGAAAAAUUAUUGAACUUAUGUGGAUAUUGAAUAUUAAAUGAAAUUGUAAAUAUUUUUACAUUAAUUUAA